GUAUGCCUGUGGCCUUUGAACGCACCACACAAGUGCCUAAAUCUAAUUGGUUGUGGCGCUGGCUGCCUGUAUAUAAAGGACCCUCCCCUACCUGGUUGACAUGACGUUGUUUUCCUUCCGGUUCAGACCUCGGUGUUGGUUGGUGCUGCACGCUAGCUGCAAAUUAAUGCAUGCGCGCAAAUGAUGCGCUAACGACGCUCUGAUCGCCGCCGCCUGUACAAGUUCUACGUUUCCUCCUUCCUUUUAGAGGCACUACAUAGAGAACUCAGCGCCGCUGCCGUUUGUCCUUGGCC